AUUGAACGCUGGCGGCAUGCCUUACACAUGCAAGUCGAACGGUAACGGGCCUUCGGGUGCCGACGAGUGGCGUACGGGUGAGUAAUACAUCGGAACGUGCCCGAUCGCGGGGGGUAACGAGGCGAAAGCUUUGCUAAUACCGCAUACGAUCUACGGAUGAAAGCAGGGGACCGCAAGGCUUUGCGCGGACGGAGCGGCCGAUGGCAGAUUAGGUAGUUGGUGGGGUAAAAGCUUACCAAGCCGACGAUCUGUAGCUGGUCUGAGAGGAUGAUCAGCCACACUGGGACUGAGACACGGCCCAGACUCCUACGGGAGGCAGCAGUGGGGAAUUUUGGACAAUGGGCGCAAGCCUGAUCCAGCCAUGCCGCGUGCAGGAUGAAGGCCUUCGGGUUGUAAACUGCUUUUGUACGGAACGAAAAGCCUUCUUUUAAUACAGGAGGGUCAUGACGGUACCGUAAGAAUAAGCACCGGCUAACUACGUG
rnacentral:rRNA from 1 species